rnacentral:miRNA from 1 species
AUAAGACUUUUUUGGUCGUUAG